CACUGCACUCCAGCCUGGACAACAGAGUGAGACUCCAUCUCAAAAAAAAUAAAUAAACAAAUAAAUACGUGUACCACCCACAGAUAUUACCCAAAAAUGGGGUUUGGGGGGGGAGCUUAUUUAUAUGACAAUGGGUUGUUUCCUAGUAACCUGGUAUUAUUGUCUUUUUUCCCCAAAGAACAAAAUGUUUGUUUGGUUGAUUGAUGUUUAUUAAAAAUCUGCACUGUUAUUGACCAGUGGAUAUAGAGAUGAACAGAAUAACUUACUUUUCUUCAUGGAACUUACAGUCUAUCAGGGAGAAAGACAUCACACAGAUGAAGAUUUUAUUACACUUGUGAUUAGAAAACAAGUAUACAUGCUUAGGAUAAUUACUUAAAAAAUAAAAUACAGAUACCAUGAGAGCUUCCAAAAGGGAACCCAGCAUGCUCUGUGGGGUCAUGAAUUUCCCAGGUGAUCAGAACUGGACGAGGGCGACAAUCCCAGCUGCAUGUUUUCCCCUUCCUGUUCGUUCUCAUCCUUACCCAGUUCUUCUGUCCUCAUGGCACUGGCUCAGCACUGGAUUCUUCCUCCCCUCUCCCCCUUGCCAUUCUUUUACUGUCAGGGAAGUUCUAGUGGAAUGGAUGCAGUUGCCUAUAAUAGUAUUCCUCACCCUCUCUAUCCCCUCAGCUGCUUUAUUUGUCUUCAUAGCACUUGUCACAUUAUGAGUACAUUAUUUAUGUAUCGUCUGUCUUCUCCACCACAUGUCAGUUUCAUAAAGGCAGGGAAUUUGGUUCUCUGUUGUAUCCCCAGUGCCUGGAACUGUGCUUGGCAUGUAGUAGCUGCUCAGUAAGUAUUUGUUGUAUAAAUGAAUUGCUUUAUCUUCUCUGGAUUCCAUCCUAAUCUCUUUUUCAGAGUCCUUUUAUUAUUGUAAUUAACUAAUUAAAUUAUUUUACAUCUUUGCUUUGUCUUAGACUUUUCCAUCUUGUCAUUUAAUUAUACUCAUUCACUUUUAGCUUAAAAUUUUUUAAAAAAUCUGACCUUUUCUGUAUUCCUCUUUCCCCUUCAUUUCUAAACCCUGUCCAGUCUUUACUCUGCCCACACGCCUCCGCUAGAACCUCUCAGGUCCCACGUGACGUCCAUGUCAUUAGAUGUAAUGGGCAUUUGUCAGUCCUCAUCUUAUUUGACCAUUCAGCAGCACCAACCUCCAUGAUAAUGCGUUUCCGGUUUUCCUCUUAUCUCUGGGACCCUUCUUUCUCUGUAUACUUUGGAGAUGUGUUUUCCUAUAAUUGGCCAUCAUGUAUUGACAUUCUUCAUUGUUCAUUGCUUGACCCAUCAUAGUCUCCACCAUGGUCAUUUAAUAAAUGCUCAGCAUUAGUCACAAUAGCAAAGACAUAGAAGCAACUUAAGUGUCCCCCAGUAGCGGCCUGGAUAAAGAAAAUGUGGCACAUAUACAUGGUGGAAUACUAUACAGCCAUAAAAAAGAACAAAAUCAUGCCCUUUACAGUGACAUGGAUGCAACUGGAGGCCAUUAUUCUUGAUGAAUUAACACAAGAAUAUGGCUUGUUCUCACUUGUAAGUGGAAGCUAAACACAGGGUUCACAUGGACAUAAAGAU